CACAAAGAGGCUUAAUAAUUAGAUUGGGGUAAGUAUUAUUUUCUUUUAUUUUUCUCCUUUUGUUUUUUCUCUUUUUCUUUCUUUUCUUUCUUUCCCUUAUUUCUUUCUUUUUCUUUUCCUUUCAUGCGUGGGAUUGCUGCCACGCACCUCACGUCCACCGAGACUUGCUGCCACGUCACCCAAGGCUGCAGGCCACCUUCUGUCGCCCAGCCGGCGACCCGCGGCCAGCCCAGCCACCGCGGUGGAGACUUUAAGUUGAGUAAUUUCUAGCAUUGUGGCUAGUUGGAAAGGCAAUUUGAGUGAGGUUGAAAUAAAGAGAGGUACAGGUAGAAGGAGCAUAUCAAGCAUGAUGGGAUUGAGCGAAGAGGCUUAUAUGUUUCUUUGUUUACUAUUUAUUGUAUUGAAUUAUUUGUGUAAUUGUUGACACUAACACUAAUUAUUGUUUUGAUGUUUUAGUUUGAUUUUUAAAAGGGCCUUCAAUGGUUCUAAGUUAUUGGUUUAAUGUUAGUUGAUUUUAAAGUUGA